rnacentral:rRNA from 1 species
CCCUUAGAUGUCCGGGGCCGCACGCGCGCUACACUGAAGGAAUCAGCGUGGCUUUCUCCCUGACCCGAAAGGGUUGGGAAACCCGUUGAAUCUCCUUCGUGAUAGGGAUUGGGGCUUGAAAUUGUUCCCCAUGAACGAGGAAUUCCCAGUAAACGCGAGUCAUCAGCUCGCAUUGAUUACGUCCCUGCCCUUUGUACACACCGCCCGUCGCACCUACCGAUUGAAUGGUUCGGUGAAGAUCUCGGACUUCGAUAUUUAUUCUUUAUUGAGUUUAUAUUGUGGGAAGUUAUCUAAACCUCAUCAUUUAGAGGAAGGUGAAGUCGUAACA